AGUGGUCGUCCCGAUAAACAUGUUUUUGAACUUCGGCGCUCUCCGUCAGGUUGACAACGUCUACCGAUGACUUCCAACGUCUCAAUCUGCAUUAAGAACACUUGACGAUCGUCGGCACGCUUUAUAAUUAACAGUUAGCUUAGGUUAAGGACGAUACUCGAUACGUCAUGCGAUGCUUGAACGGGUUAUGGAGCGCACAGUAUUCAAGUUCCCAGGAAAGAACACACUCUAUGAAGAAUAUUAAGAAAUUAUAUGAAGGAAGCAAACAAAAAUUAUCCCAGUGAAAAAAGAGGAUUGCAUGACAACAAUGAAUAUACUAUAUUAAGAGAAGAAUCAAUUGGUCAAUAAAAAAAUAUAUAAGAACCUCGUAGUCUUCCUGGCGUCUCGACGUCUGGAAUCGCCCGGACGAGAUUCGAUCCACGAAUACGAGUAACGUCAAAGGAAGCGGCAGGAGUCGAAAGCGUGGAAGAGGACUGUCAGAAGCUGAGUCCAAGUGCCUAGUACCCAGAGUACCAGUGCUUCCACGAGAAAGGAUAAAAGGACACGUCACGGGUCUCGAAUCUUCCGGUUCACCAGGACACUUCCUGUUCAAGAUGAUUAUCUCCCAGUGAUCCUUGUACUUGGAGCGUUUAUAUUUGAACAAGCGAGUCAGGUGGGUGCCGCGAGGUCCAAGCAUAAAUUUCUAUCGAGAGCGGCGCGGCGCUGUCCUGAAGAGGAAUUUCAGUCUCGUGUUGCACGAGAGACUCAGGAUGAUCAGGUAAUAUGAUCGGUGCUAUUAGGAUUGAUUUGCCGAUUGCGUCGAUCGUGCUUAAUGACAGUUCUGAUUGGUUUGGAAAUUUUGAUGACAGGGGUCCAGCGAGGAUAUACGGUACGACGCUUGGUGGACACUUGAUGGUGGAGUGGAUUUUUGACAUCAAUCAAACUGGAUCGGAUUGGAUCGAAUGUGAUGGACGAACGCCGGGUCGACUGCAGCAGAGUCACGCAGUACUCCCACUACGACGACUCGCGAAGCCGGCGACGCCGACGCUGAACACUGACUCCACUGCUGUUACCGCCUCCCUUCGGCGCACCCUUCACCGACUCAUCCGCAAGCGCCGCGACGUUACCGAGGACGCUCCGAUCGCUUCGACGCCCUACCGAGCGCCAAACACUCUUGUGUCCUUGUGUAUCCGACGGCAGAGAUUCGCCAUGCGUUCCAGAAACACUGAUAUUAAGUUCUCACGUUUUCUUUUAUUUUAUUCCUCUCUCUGGUAAUAUUUUAUUACCAUUGGUUACAUUAUUUUUAUAUCAACGCUCUCAUACUUUUUCUUAUACUCUCAACUGUGGGUUAUAUACUGUUUUUCUUUUCGAAUCACAUAAAGAAGAGGCGUAACUUCCUACGGGGUUGUUUGUAAGAGAUACUUGGGCACGGAUUUUAUUAAAUUUUUGCUUUAAUGCUUUUUUAUCCCAGUCCGGUGAGGUCCAUGGAGAGCGUGGAACAGGGUGGGUAUAUCGACCUGCGGAACAUAGACACGGCUCAAAGAGCCAACGCAGAAACCCCCGAAAUACAAUGUUACUUCAUAGACUUAGUAUAACAACCCCAAAAUUACAGCCCAUUUCGAAUUUAUUUCUGCGACUUUUGUACGUCUUCCAAAUUCAUUUGACGUAUCGAAACGUAUUUCUUCUAGUUAUAGACGCUAUAGAUAUGGGCGAUUCAGUAGAAUUUUUUUAUUGUUAAAUUAAUCUAAUUGAUUAUCAUUUAUAUGUUAUUAUAGUCAUUAUUGGAAACUGUUAUUUGCUUAUUUGUACGUGGCAGUGUGAGUAGGGAUAAAAUUAGGUAGAUUGAUAGGGUUGGGGCGGGGGGGGAGGAUUGAAGUAUGGGUGUGCAGGAAUGAAAAGGUGGAGAAGGAGAAUGGGUUAUAGAGGGGUUGAAGGGUUAGGGAGAAGCGAAGAGAUCCUUUCUAAUUAAUUUUAUCACAGUAAACACGGCAGCCGAAGGUUUGGCCAGUUUUCUGAAAAUAAUUUGGCAAUCUAACAUUAAGGUCAUUAAUCAUCUUUGAAAUUAAAUAUUAAUUUUUCUAUGAUGAGGCAAAUUAGCUAAGACGACCCUGCGGAUAAUCACAAUAAUUCACAUGACAUUAUCACAUUGUUUUUGUUAAUUACGACUUAGCAGGGACUCGUUACUAGUCCAUAAUUUAGUCUUUUAGACAAUAAAAUUUAUCUGACGAAUUAUCUUUUAUUAUCUAUUUGAAAAAGUAUCAUUUAAAUCAAAUAUAUUAUCAGAGAGCUACCUCUAUCAUGGAAUGCCAAUAGAUAACGAUGUGAUAAAUCGCCAUGACUAUCUUGGAUCUGUUUUACAAAAUAUACUAAACUGUCAAAAAAAUUAUUAUUAACAAAAAGUCAUUUUUCUCUGUAAUUUUAUUUCGUGGAAUGUGAUACGUUUCACAGUGUUAUUCAGUAUACGUGUAAUACGUAUUGAACAAGGGAGUAAUGAUUCAGUUUUUUUGUUUCACAAGUUUUAAGCACAUAAGUGCCCAUGUGCAUAAACGAGAGUGUGGUGGUAGAGCAUUAAAUAAAUCGCACUGAUAUCGGAAA